ACACGAGAAGGGAGGUGGUUCGGCAGAUGUAUGGAUACCGGACGCGUGAGGUGGCUGCGGGCUAGCGGCCCGUCACCCCACCCAGUGCGGUGCCGGACCCGCAUGUGAACGACGCGUGCAGCCGGCCCAAUCCCAGCAGUCACCCGACCCGCGAGUCCGCCGGUACGUCCGGCCGGCUCCUCCGCCCCGCGGAGGACCCGGACUCGCGGGUCGUCUGCG
rnacentral:sRNA from 1 species